rnacentral:rRNA from 1 species
GACGAACGCUGGCGGCGUGCCUAAUACAUGCAAGUCGAACGCUUCUUUCCUCCCGAGUGCUUGCACUCAAUUGGAAAGAGGAGUGGCGGACGGGUGAGUAACACGUGGGUAACCUACCCAUCAGAGGGGGAUAACACUUGGAAACAGGUGCUAAUACCGCAUAACAGUUUAUGCCGCAUGGCAUAAGAGUGAAAGGCGCUUUCGGGUGUCGUUGAUGGAUGGACCCGCGGUGCAUUAGCUAGUUGGUGAGGUAACGGCUCACCAAGGCCACGAUGCAUAGCCGACCUGAGAGGGUGAUCGGCCACACUGGGACUGAGACACGGCCCAGACUCCUACGGGAGGCAGCAGUAGGGAAUCUUCGGCGAUGGACGAAAGUCUGACCGAGCAACGCCGCGUGAGUGAAGAAGGUUUUCGGAUCGUAAAACUCUGUUGUUAGAGAAGAACAAGGACGUUAGUAACUGAACGUCCCCUGACGGUAUCUAACCAGAAAGCCACGGCUAACUACGUG